rnacentral:rRNA from 1 species
UACGUAGGGGGCAAGCGUUGUCCGGAUUUAUUGGGCGUAAAGAGCGUGUAGGCGGCCUUACAGGUCAGCUGUGAAAACUCGAGGCUCAACCUCGAGACGUCGGUUGAAACCGUAUGGCUAGAGUCCGGAAGAGGAGAGUGGAAUUCCCGGUGUAGCGGUGAAAUGCGCAGAUAUCAGGAGGAACACCAAUGGCGAAGGCAGCACUCUGGGACGUGACUGACGCUGAGACGCGAAAAGCGUGGGGGAGCAAACAGG